AUUUUCCUCUUCUUAGUCUUUGUCAUCAAUAUCAUCAUUAUACAUGUCAUCACAGUGCAAAUUUAAGCUAUUUUUAUUGAAAGGGCUUUAGUUUUUAUUUAGGACUCCACCAGGGUUGUAGAGGGCUUUCAUUCCAUACUUUUAUAUUUCAGCCUCAGUGACUAAACCUAUUUCCUAAUGAUUUCAGCAUAAUCUUUUCUUUUAUUGUCCUUCCAAUCAUAAAAGAACAUGUUUCAAAAAAAGAAAAAAUGCUACAUGCAUUGCCCCUUUUGGUAUAGGGUUUUCUCUCCUUUAUAAUAAUAGAGUGAUCCUGCAAAUCCAGUUCAGAAUUGUAAUGAAUUAUUGAAUCCAUAAGAAUAGACUACUGACAUUGAUGUAGACUUUAGGGGAAAACAUCUGGCAGGCAGAAGUUCUACAAUACAUUGCAAAGGAUCUUAGCCAAAAAGAAAAGUUAAAGGGAAGUACCUGCAAGGAGGGCAACAGUCCAUACUGAAGGUGGAACACAUGCAAUAGCAAAAACAGUCCAUGAUCUUUUGAUUUCUCCUGGGCCUCUUUGUGCAGUAGCUUGGAAAGGAGCCUUUACCCAGGUCCAAGGUGCCUCCUCUUCUUGGUUUAGUGAUCUCAGUUCUGGGAAGCUGGGCUGCUCCAGAGAGUCUGCUGAAAGUGUGCAGAUGAGAAGAAUAGGCUCUGAAAGGGCUUUCUGGCCCUCAAUAAACAGGAUACUCGGCCCUACCUCCUGCAGUGCCAAGCUCUUCUAAGGCAGCUUAAUGGGCCCUAGAUAGUGCAACCAUCAGAGCUGGUGGGCCAGAAACAUGACCACCUGCCCUCCUGAAGAAGAUUCAUGGGAAUCUUUCCAUGACAGGCUGAGGAAGACAUCCCACCCUUGACUCAUACCAAGGCUUCUCUAGUGAACCAGUCAGAAACAACUAUAUUGUUAAGGCCUGUGUAGAAGACAGAUAUAAGACAAAGUGAAACUGCAACGAAUAGGAUAAUAAUUCUAAAUUUGAAUAUAAUAAUAAUAAAUGAAAGAUAAAAAUCCUAAAUUUGAUUAUAAGUCAUCACUUCUAGUUACCCCCGGAAUUGAGUGCUAGAGAGAAAUAAUGGCCUCAGUCAAUUAGAAAAACCCAAGAGGCCUCGAUCCAUUAGUAAACACAGGCUGCCAUUUUGAAAUGAGUGAACUCACCAUGGACCACUCAUCCACUUCCCACCAACAGCCAAGCUGACAUGGAAUCGAACCAUCCAGGGUGCUAACCACAUGUGUGGGCAGUAUGCGUACACAUGGUAGGCAGCUUGGUCCAACACACACCUGAAGGAACAUGACAAGACUCCAACUCAGAUGCACCUUUUAGCUCCCAGUCUCAGCAACUGCCAUGGCCAGCAAUGAUUCCCAGGGCAGGGAGACUCUAAAGCCAGAAAAAUCAGAGAGGCCAGACAUUAUCUCCGUUUCAAGAGUAGCAUGUGAUCAACCAAGAAGCAGGUUGUGAGCAGACUCCCUCCUACUAUUGAAGGUCCUUCCCCCAGCUAUCUGAGAAACGGCCAUGAAGGGGGGACUUAAAUACUCUAUGCUUGCUCCCCGGAGCUGCCCAUGUGGGGGUGUGGAACUCGGACUCUGACAUCCUAGGCCAAGAGGCAAUGGUGACUCCCAGCCCUGGCUUCAACAGGCUCUGUAUUAUAGACGUGUUGGAAAUCAAGGCAGAGGUGCGAGAAGAAAGGAACUGAAACGAUCUUGCGACUGGGCCGAGGUCCUUACUUAUGUUUAUGUUUUGGAUGUGGGAGGAGACAUAGAGUAGAGAAGGGAGGGACAAAGCUGAUGAGACAGGGUGGAAAUGCAGUUGACAUUUCUUCACUCCCCAGCAAGAGGAGAUUGGCUCUGUAGUUAGCUCUCCUUCCCCAAGUAAACAGUCAACACAUUCCGACAGCCUGGGUCUGUACUUUCCUGAGUAUAACAACCCCAUUCCACACACAACACUGUUAGCCCGCUGAGUCUCCUGAGUCCUCAGGAACACGGUGGUACUCCCAGAAUGUGAAAACUGUUGUAAACUCCCACUCAUAUGUUAAGGAAAUAUUUCCAAAUAUUAAGGAAAUGUUUGUCUCCCUGACCUGAUUCCAUGCUAAUCCGAACAGACUUCCUAAUCCUGAUGCUCUUUGGUGUCACUUCCUGCCCACUGUGCCGCGUCCAUUAGACCGUGAGGUUGCUGAGGGCAGAAGCUGCACCUUGCUGCUGCUGGGUCCCCAGGGUGUCGUUCAGGGCCAGGCCUACGCCAUAGUUCAUUAAAUAUUUCUAGAAAGGAAAAGAGGCAUGAAAUGACCGACUUGUGCACAUUUGCCUGAGGCAUCUCUGGUUUUAGCAUUGAAUGUCCUGUGUCCUGGGAAACCCCUCAGACUUGGCAACCUGAGACAAUUGGUCACCUUGGCUGGAAGGAGGGAGGGAAGAGUGAAGUACAUUAGUCCAAGCCCACCUGGGGCAGAACCCUGCAUGCUCUGACUUGCUGGCAUAAGGAAUGGGCGGCUGAGUAGCAGGUGAGCUCAUGGGGUCCCUAAGGAGAUGCGGUGAGCCCAUCCCUUUAAAGAAGCAGAGGGACCAUGAGCCAGACUUUCAUCCCAUCAUCACUGAGUCCUGAAAAUAGAAUUAUUAUAUUCAUUUGGGAAACAUCUGUUGUGAACCUACCCUUUGUCGGGUUCUGUGCCAGAUCCUGAGAGUACGGAAGAAGCAAGAACAGGUCUUCCUUCCAGGAGUGCAGAGGAAGCGGGGCGUGCUGGGGAAGUGUCCCGUGGGCUUCCUGUGUCUUCCCUCCACUAUGCAACUGGUCUUCCUGUCCAGACUUCUGCCCUUUGAGAUGCCGUAAGAUCUCAUAGUCCCCAUCUGUAACAGAGAUAAGAAAGUGAAGUCACAUUUUGUGGAAAGCUUUUCUAAAUUAAGGGGUUAAGACAAAAAAGAUUUUGGCUUCAUUCACAGUUAACUAGAAACUUCCAUUAACCAUAAUGACCCAUUCCCCAAGCUGGCUGGCUAAUGGAGGUCCUGCUGCAUUCGUCUUUUUGUUUUGCUUCCUUCCUUUCCUUUGCUCCCAGGCUCUCUAUCAACUGUGGGUUCCUGUGCUCCUGUCUCUGCAGCAGCCUUUUCUUCUCUCCUCUUCCACCCUCUCAGUUGUCAGUGCUUGACUCAGCCGGGGCUGUG
rnacentral:lncRNA from 1 species